rnacentral:snRNA from 1 species
AUUUGGGGCUCGUUUGUUUCAACCUACAGUUGGAACAACGCACAGAUGAUUAGCAUGACUUCUAAACAUGGAUGACAUGUAGUUUUGUGCAGCAAUCUGUGUUUUU